AUCUAAGGCCAUACCAUCCUGAGUAUAACCUUGUCUGAUCUCGAGAGCUAAGCAGGAUCGGACCUGGUUAGUACUUGGAUGGGAGAACAGAGUGUUCCUGUCAUCCUCUUCAUGGACACAGGCUGCCCUGUUC
rnacentral:rRNA from 1 species